rnacentral:rRNA from 1 species
UACGAAGGGUGCAAGCGUUAAUCGGAAUUACUGGGCGUAAAGCGCGCGUAGGUGGUUCAGUAAGUUGGAUGUGAAAUCCCCAGGCUCAACCUGGGAACUGCAUCCAAAACUGCUGAGCUAGAGUACGGUAGAGGGUGGUGGAAUUUCCUGUGUAGCGGUGAAAUGCGUAGAUAUAGGAAGGAACACCAGUGGCGAAGGCGACCACCUGGACUGAUACUGACACUGAGAUGCGAAAGCGUGGGGAGCAAACAGG